GAUGAAGAACGUAGCGAAAUGCGAUAAGUAGUGUGAAUUGCAGAAUUCAGUGAAUCAUCGAAUCUUUGAACGCACAUUGCGCCCCUUGGUAUUCCAUGGGGCAUGCCUGUUCGAGCGUCAUUUGUACCUUCAAGCUCUGCUUGGUGUUGGGUGUUUGUCUCGCCUCUGCGUGUAGACUCGCCUCAAAAUAAUUGGCAGCCGGCGUAUUGAUUUCGGAGCGCAGUACAUCUCGCGCUUUGCACUCAUAACGACGAAGUCCAAAAGUACAUUUUUACACUCUUGACCUCGGAUCAGGUAGGGAUACCCGCUGAACUUAAGCAUAUCAAUAAGCGGAGGA
rnacentral:misc_RNA from 1 species